rnacentral:tRNA from 1 species
AGGGGCAUGGUGUCAAUGGCAGCACCUCGGUCUCCAAAACCGAUGGUCUAGGUUCAAAUCCUAGUGCCCCUG